rnacentral:miRNA from 1 species
UUCCUCUUCAUAAUCAUCAUCG